rnacentral:lncRNA from 1 species
AUGUCUGCAUCGUUCCACGUGAAACAGCACCACCACCACCACAGUGACAAGAAGCAGCAGCAUGAGAGCAUCAGCCAUCACAGCUCUCGCUCCUCUUUUAGUCAGCUGUCAUAUGCUGCCCACAAGAGAAUCCAGCACAGCACCAUAGGAGUGCAGCAGAGUUUUGUCGAAUCAGAGAAGAGGUCGGAGUUCAUACCUAGCCAGCUGCUGCCGCCGAGAGUCAAGAAGUACCUGGCCAUGGACCCUGACACCAACGAUGUCAUUGGAUACAUAGUUCCUGUCUUCAGGACCAGGUGGGGAGACUGGGAUAUAACGUAGUAACAUUGAUAUGUUUCAGAUAGACAUUUACACUGAAUGAUACAAUAUGUGCCUGUUGUUUAGCCAUGAGUUUGGGGAUAAAAUAAAUAAAUACACGUUUAACCUUUAUAUAACUAGGGGAUGUUCAGGUUUAGUUUAAUUUAUUUGUACCAAAGAAAACAAGUGGUCAACAACAAUACAGAUAAAAAGGAAUGAAUAAACGGUGUGCAGGUGGCUGGAAGCACAAAAUACUAUAUAAAUACAUUCGGGAAGUA